rnacentral:rRNA from 1 species
CCUACGGGGGGCUGCAGUGGGGAAUAUUGGACAAUGGGCGCAAGCCUGAUCCAGCAAUGCCGCGUGUGUGAAGAAGGCCUGCGGGUUGUAAAGCACUUUAAGCAGGAAAGAAGGGGUGGGAGUUAAUACCUUUCAUCAUUGACGUUACCUGCAGAAUAAGCACCGGCUAACUCCGUGCCAGCAGCCGCGGUAAUACGGAGGGUGCGUGCGUGAAGCGGAAUUACCGGGCGUAAUGCGCUCAGUCGGGGUUGAAAGCCCCGGGCUUAACCUGGGAACUGCGGUGGAUACUGUCGGGCUAGAGUGUGGUAGAGGGGAGUGGAAUUUCCGGUGUAGCAGUGAAAUGCGUAGAGAUCGGAAGGAACACCAGUGGCGAAGGCGGCUCCCUGGACUAACACUGACGCUGAGGUGCGAAAGCGUGGGGAGCAAACAGGAUUAGAUACCCCAGUAGUC